GAAAGGAAGCUGUGUUUGAUUUUCGUUUUCUCAGAUCUGAACAAAACCACAACGCUCACUUUGACGUCUGAAGAUUGAAUAUAAAUUCAUUAAUUCUUCCUCCUUGACGAAUCCCCUUUUCACACCAAAUCUUUCUUCAAUCUCUCUCCUCUCUCUCUCUCUCUCUCUCUCUAUCGUUUUCUUUCCAUUUCUUUGGUGGGUAAUAAAGUGAUUGAUCGAUUAAUUCUCUAUAUAUCUCCAUCUCUCCUCGCUCUUCAAUGGAGUCUCAUCAUCAUCAUCUUCAUCUACAUCACAACAUCGCUGUGAACGUUGAUCCAGCGGGCGACAGGUUCCCUCAAUGGAGUAUUCAGGAGACAAGGGAUUUCCUGGUGAUCAGAGCCGAGCUCGACCAGAGUUUCAUGGAAACCAAACGCAACAAGCUUCUCUGGGAUGUGAUCUCCACCAAGAUGCGAGAAAAGGGAUACAAUCGCAGCGCCGAGCAGUGCAAGUGCAAGUGGAAAAACCUCGUUACUCGGUACAAGGGAUGUGAAACCAUGGAGUCGGAAGCUGUGCGCCAGCAGUUUCCGUUUUACAAUGAGCUGCAGGCGAUUUUCACCGGCCGGAUGCAGAAGAUGCUGUGGAUAGAGACGGAGGGCGGCGGCGGCACCAAGAAGAAGGGGGUGGUGCAGCUGUCGUCGGAGGAGGAAGAGGAAAACGAGGAGAGCGAUGGAGAGAAGGGUGGCGGUAGCAGGAAGAGGAGGAAGACGGCUAAGGGUGGUGGCACCCACCCUGGGCCUAGCAGUUCCGGGAGUGGAAGCAUCAAUAGCUUAAAGGAGGUGUUGGAGGAGUUCAUGAAGCACCACAUGCAGAUGGAGAUGGAGUGGAUAAAGCAACAUGAGGCAAGGGAGGAGGAGAGGAAGAUGAAGGAGAUGGAGUGGAGGCAGCAAAUGGAGGCUCUGGAGAAAGAGAGACAGAUGAUGGAGAGGAGGUGGAGGGAGAGGGAAGAACAAAGAUGGGUUAGGGAAGAAGCCAGAGCUGAGAGGAGGGAUGCUCUUAUUACAGCUCUUUUGAACAAGCUUACAAGAGAAGAUCAGAUGUAGAACUAAUGGAACCUUAAUUUAUUCAAUUUCUUUGGUUUUUUGUGGAAGAGGGAAGCUAUGAGGAAGAAGUAUUAUAGAUAUGGAAGCUAAACCAACAAAACAAUAAGAAGAAACUCAAAGAAUAUCAAAUCUGUAUUUGUUGUCACUCAAGCACAACAAUGAAUUUAUGGGAAGGGGAAUGUCAUCAUCAAGUCACCUAAGAUCUUCUUCAUCCCAACACCAAAUGUUAUCUUAAGCCCUUCGUCCUGAGAUUGCAAGGGAGAAAAUAGUCACAGGAUGUAGAGAGGUCUCCAUACAAACAAUCCGAUGUUUACUUAUUUAGAGGGCUUUUGUUAAAAUGAGUAAGAUAAGAGGUAUCAAGAUAAGUUUGGAAUGUUUUUCGAACCAAGAUAAGGAAUG